GUCUAUGGUCAUUCCACCUUGAAUGUACCUGACCUUGUCUGUCCAUAAAAGCUAAGCAGUUGGGUCCAGGUAGUACUUGGAUGAGAGAUAUCAGAGUACAUUGGAAUGUUUCAGGGA
rnacentral:rRNA from 1 species